rnacentral:misc_RNA from 1 species
AUUACCAUUGUUGUUAUCUUCUACCCCUCUCACUUCGUGACCUUCUUCUCUUGAAAGCCCUAGAAAUCCAGAUAGUUUCCUAAAUAAACCCAUCCUUUUCUAUAUACAGCGACAUGCAUUAGCGAGAAAAAUGGCGAGAACUACUGAAAUACUCCCGCCGUCGGAAGCCGGAACACCGACAAAUUGGGAUCUUUAGGCGCCGGAGAUAUUGACGGAACGACGAUCUCGCCGGAGAAAUCGGAAUCUUGACCUUGGACUAGUGA